UGGAAGUAAAAGUCGUAACAAGGUCUCCGUUGGUGAACCAGCGGAGGGAUCAUUACCGAGUUAUACAACUCCCAAACCCACUGUGAACCUUACCUCAGUUGCCUCGGCGGGAACGCCCCGGCCGCCUGCCCCCGCGCCGGCGCCGGACCCAGGCGCCCGCCGCAGGGACCCCAAACUCUCUUGCAUUACGCCCAGCGGGCGGAAUUUCUUCUCUGAGUUGCACAAGCAAAAACAAAUGAAUCAAAACUUUCAACAACGGAUCUCUUGGUUCUGGCAUCGAUGAAGAACGCAGCGAAAUGCGAUAAGUAAUGUGAAUUGCAGAAUUCAGUGAAUCAUCGAAUCUUUGAACGCACAUUGCGCCCGCCAGCAUUCUGGCGGGCAUGCCUGUUCGAGCGUCAUUUCAACCCUCGAGCCCCCCCCGGGGGCCUCGGUGUUGGGGGACGGCACACCAGCCGCCCCCGAAAUGCAGUGGCGACCCCGCCGCAGCCUCCCCUGCGUAGUAGCACACACCUCGCACCGGAGCGCGGAGGCGGUCACGCCGUAAAACGCCCAACUUUCUUAGAGUUGACCUCGGAUCAGGUAGGAAUACCCGCUGAACUUAAGCAUAUCAAUAAGCGGAGG
rnacentral:rRNA from 1 species